rnacentral:misc_RNA from 1 species
GUUGGUGAACCAGCGGAGGGAUCAUUACAGAGUUAUCUAAACUCCCAACCCUAUGUGAACUUACCUAUGUUGCCUCGGCAGGGACCUACCCGGUACUUACCCGGUAACUACCCUGUAAUUGCUGGGUAGACCUGCCGAAGGACCUUUUAAACUCUUGUUUUAUUGUGGCACUCUGAGUAACUAAAAGUAAAUAAGUUAAAACUUUCAACAACGGAUCUCUUGGUUCUG